GAUGAACGCUGGCGGCGUGCCUAAUACAUGCAAGUCGAGCGAACGGACGAGAAGCUUGCUUUUCUGAUGUUAGCGGCGGACGGGUGAGUAACACGUGGAUAACCUACCUAUAAGACUGGGAUAACUUCGGGAAACCGGAGCUAAUACCGGAUAAUAUUUUGAACCGCAUGGUUCAAAAGUGAAAGACGGUCUUGCUGUCACUUAUAGAUGGAUCCGCGCUGCAUUAGCUAGUUGGUAAGGUAACGGCUUACCAAGGCAACGAUGCAUAGCCGACCUGAGAGGGAGAUCGGCCACACUGGAACUGAGACACGGUCCAGACUCCUACGGGAGGCAGCAGUAGGGAAUCUUCCGCAAUGGGCGAAAGCCUGACGGAGCAACGCCGCGUGAGUGAUGAAGGUCUUCGGAUCGUAAAACUCUGUUAUUAGGGAAGAACAUAUGUGUAAGUAACUGUGCACAUCUUGACGGUACCUAAUCAGAAAGCCACGGCUAACUACGUG
rnacentral:rRNA from 1 species